CUCUGCACAUUCACGAUUCCUGUGGUAUCUUUAUUUUUAAAGAUCUAAUAGAUCCAGUGAUAACCUUGUGCCUUUGAUCUCAAAUGUAAAAACGCAGCUUUGCUAAUAGAGUUGGAAGGAGAGAGGUUGGGAGAGAGGGAGGGAAACUGGUCCACGUUGAAGAUUUAAGCAUGAGUAAGAAUAUUUGACACAAAAACACAAGCAGAACUAAAUGAAGGAACUGUAAUGGAACGCUUCAGAAUUGCGAGGAAGAGACAUACAUCUCUUCGCCUCAAGGGCCUUGGGGCACACAACUGUUGGGAUUAAAUGAAUGCCUAUCGCAGAAUCUAUGCCGUUGCGUUCCGAAAUGGAGGACCAUACCAAAAUAUUGCACUUGUAUCCACAGCACACAAUACAUAGCAAAAAAGGAUAUUUUAAAAAAAGAUAUUGUUCAGGAUUGAAUUGAUUUGAAAAAUUUGGAAGCAGUACAGUCAGUUCCUGUGAUGUAUUUUGGUUACUUCAUGUGAAAACAUUAGUUUAGAUCCCAUCAUAUUUUGGAAAGCCUGACCUAAUCAACAACAACACCAACUUGCAUUUAUAUAGGGGCCUACACACGGACAUUCAAGCAUGAAGUUCACCAAAUUUGAUGAUUUUCUGUCAAAUCUAAGCCGUUCAGAGUCUCUAUUGUGCCAAACCUUUUUGUACAACCAGUCAAUGGAGAUCAGACUCUAAAAAUAAAAUGUUUUACAUUUC